rnacentral:lncRNA from 1 species
GCCAGGAACUUCUGAGUCACAGGGUCUUGCUGGUGGUCACUUGCAGGAAUAGUAGGCUUCAGGGGGCUAUGCUGCCUUAGAGCCUGCGACAUCCGUGUUCACUGUCAACCUGACUGGAUUUGGAGCUACCUAGGAGACACAGCUCUGGGGGUCUCUGUGAGGAUGCUUCCAGAGAUGCUUGAUGGAUGAGGCUAUCCAGAUAGAGGAGUGCCAGCUGCAUCUUCCUGAGGCUG